AAGACAGAAGACCUUUCCUCCAACAAAACAACUGGGAAUAAUCUUGUUUUGGAGUAUUCCUGAUAGCUUGCAUAUACAACUAGCCCUACCAUUAGACAGACUGAGCCAAUCACGUGAGGCAGCUAUUGACGUCACCUCACCACAGACUCCAAGGCAACACUGGGGCCAUGCAGUGCCCUCCUUCACCAUCUGGGAGCUGUUUGUGAAUUUCUGCACCAGGUCCUUCCAGCCCUGCCUCUUAUGACAUCAGUCUCCAUACUUGGUCUUUUUGGACAAGAUUGGGUUAGUAUGCAUCUGCUGUGCUCCUCCAUCU